AUUCACAUUUGUUUAGGUAACUGGUUCUUACAUAAACUGUUCUUAAACCUUUUUUUAAUUAACAUGUAGCUUAAAUCAAUUGAAUUGAAAGUGAGGCAGCCGGUGUCGCUUAAUCCUUUAUUGACAUACAAAAAAUAUGUAAUUAAAUAUGAGUUUGAAAUAUCGGCCAAAUCUAAGAAAUUAUAUUUUAAUGAUGUUUCCAAAAAAAAAGCAAUUACUGUCCGAUACCGAUAUAUCGUGGUGAAUCCCUAAGAUAAAUAGAUGAUACAUUCUUAAUUUAUCACACUUGUAAUUGUAAAUUGCAAAUUAUAUAUGUAAAUUAUUUCUGUCUACUGGUUUGAAGUUUGGCGUUGUGAAUUGAGAUGAUUUAGAAUUUAAAAUCCUAAGUUUUUUAUAUAAAUGCACAUUAUUUUUUUCAAAGUUGCCCAAUAAGCCCUAAUAGUCAUAACUCGAAACCUUGAAACUUUGUUUUUGGCGCCGCCUUGUGACUGCAACCCUCAAAGCAAGAAAACAGAACAGGUCAUCAAUCCAGAAUCACUGGUUGCAGGGCAGGAAUAGCUCAUGGACAGGGCAGCAGUCUAGUACAGGUGUGUGAGCACGAGCAGGUAGUUAUUGAUGCUGCGGUCCAAACGCUCCAGCAGGUUCAGCCCACAGCCCAACUGGCUCUGAUCCCGGG